rnacentral:rRNA from 1 species
CCCUUAGAUGUUCUGGGCCGCACGCGCGCUACACUGACGCAUUCAGCGAGUUUUUCCUGCAUCGAAAGGUGUGGGUAAUCUUUUGAACCUGCGUCGUGAUGGGGAUAGAUUAUUGCAAUUAUUAAUCUUCAACGAGGAAUGCCUAGUAAGCGUGAGUCAUCAGCUCGCGUUGAUUACGUCCCUGCCCUUUGUACACACCGCCCGUCGCACCUACCGAUUGAAUGGUCCGGUGAAAUCUCGGGACGGCGGCUUGGUCGCUUGCGUCCGACUGCUGAAACUUGAUUAAACCAUAUCAUUUAGAGGAAGGUGAAGUCGUANCA